rnacentral:rRNA from 1 species
CUAGACAUAGCAGUAAUGCAGUUAACACAUUAAGUGUGCCGCCUGGGGAGUACGGUCGCAAGAUUAAAACUCAAAGGAAUAGACGGGGACCCGCACAAGCGGUGGAGCAUGUGGUUUAAUUCGACGAUACGCGAAGAACCUUACCUGGACUUGACAUAGAAAGAAUUACGCAGAGAUGUAUAAGUGCUAGCUUGCUAGAACUUUCAUACAGGUGCUGCACGGCUGUCGUCAGCUCGUGUCGUGAGAUGUUGGGUUAAGUCCCGCAACGAGCGCAACCCUCGUGUUUAGUUGCUAACAGGUUAUGCUGAGAACUCUAAACAGACUGCCUGGGUAACCAGGAGGAAGGUGAGGACGACGUCAAGUCAUCAUGGCCCUUACGUCCAGGGCUACACACGUGCUACAAUGGGAUAUACAAAGAGCAGCGAUACCGCGAGGUGGAGCAAAUCUCAAAAAUAUCUCCCAGUUCGGAUAGCAGUCUGCAACUCGACUGCUUGAAGUUGGAAUCGCUAGUAAUCGUAGAUCAGCAAUGCUACGGUGAAUACGUUCCCGGGUCUUGUACUCACCGCCCGUCACACCAUGGGAGUUGAUUUCAUUCGAAGCGGGGAUGCUAAAGUAGCUACCCUCCACAGUGGAAUUAGCGACUGGGGUGAAGUCGUAACAAGGUAGCCG